GGUUCGCGAAUAAUCUUAAUUUUCGAUCAACAGGUGAAGUGACCCAUUCCAUAUAUCUACUUCCAAGGCUACCCACUUGGCAGAGCAUUGGCUUGUUCCAAUCAACUAGUUUCUGAAAUAAUAAUAUAUAAUAGGUAGGCACGAUCAAUCAACCCUUUGAGAUUUUCCCAAGCCGAAUUCAAAUGGUGAUAGUGACCAAGAGACCCCAAUAUAAUAGAAUAAAACGAUAGUCGCGAAAGGGCCGCCUUAAAGAUCCUAUUUUGUAGUCUCCAAUAAGAAACAUAGCUAAAAGAAGCGAAAUACAUCAUGAUAAGUUAAAAGAUUGCAAUGUAGAACUUGAUUUUUUAUUUUACAGGGGAAGAGGCCACCUAUAAAUAUCUUUUUUUUAAAUUAAUUUGUUAAUUUUGUAAUUUUUUAGUUGAAUGUUUCAUUAUUUUUUUAAAUUUUAUUUUAAGUUUUUUAUUUAAUACAUUAGUGUAUAUGCGAGAUUAUUUGAAUUUGCGGUAUCCUUGCAAAUGAAUAGGAAGAGGAAGUAUGUUUCCAUGAUCGACCUAACAUGCUUAGAUUUUUAUUUGUGGGAGAGGAUAAAAGAUCUAGUCUUUCAAACAAGGCCAACUACAAGAGCGGAUAUGAUCCUUUUCUCCUCUACCCAGCAGAGAAUAUCGAAAAUCACGGCAGACAGUUUGAACAUUUACGUUAGUUAUAAUUUUUGUUAUUGUUUCUUUUAUUAUUUAAUUUAUAUUUCUCUGAUUUAAAGUUUCAAUAAUUUUGUGUAAUUUAAAAACUUAUAUUGAGUGUUAGUUUUGAGUUGCCAUCGUCUCAUUCACUUCUUUGACGUAAUUAUCGCUUGUUAUGUGUUCUUUUGUUUCCAAGGCAACUUGACAAUUAAUGUGAAUGUGUGUAUUUUCGCCAUAUUUUUGCUUAGGAAACAGAUAAUAGAUAACUGGUACAGGUUUUUAUUGACCACUCUGCACAUGAACGCCCUGUAUAUAGAGGCGUUUUAUCACAUGAAGAACUCGUCGAAAGCAUUGGUGAUCGUUCUAUGAGUUAGUUUCUACAGCCGUUUUGUCGUUUGUAAUUUCCGGAAUUUUCUUUUGAAACUAGUUUCUUCAUAACGCUUUUGCAUCCUUUCAAUAGUUAAAAUAUUAUUAGUUGUGAGCUUUGCUUUAACGUUCCGUUUAGUUUUUUUUCGGCCUUAAGUUCACCGCACCGUUUUUUGCAGCUAAUUGCACGGUAAUUUGUUUUUUUUUUCACUCCGUUAAUUUUCUAAAGGUAAGCAUUCUGUUCAUUUUAAAGACAGGGGCAGGGGAGGAUUAUUUCGCUUUUCCAGAAUGUUGUUGUGUGCUUUAGUUUUUGCUGUCAGAUUAAUUAACACGUGACCACCGCCAUUUGCCCGUGUGUGCUUAAGUUUGCUUUUAGAUUUUUUCGUCAGUGGCCGCAAUUAAUUGCUGGACUGCCGAAUCCUGGAGUACCGGUCCUCCAACUCCGAGGCAACCGAUAUCGCAAUCACCGCACCGUACCUUGACCCGAGGCAAGGUCGUUUCCGCCACCCUCUGGUGGCGCUUGAGUCUGUCCGUCAAACCAACACCGUUUGCACCAAAUUGUUUAGUUUUUUAAUAAUCCCAAGUAUUAGUUUUUUUUAAUUUUUUUGCUUUAAUUAAA